rnacentral:rRNA from 1 species
AAAAGAGAGUGCAAGAGAACGUGAAACCGUUAUAGUGGAAGCGGAUGGAGCUCGACGUAUCCAAUGCGUAUUCAGUUGUUGACGGGUGCAAUUUGCUUGUUUGGAGUUCUGCAAAGUCUCCGGCAGGUGCUGUUGUGUUCGUUGGCGAUGCAUUUGCGCAUAGAGUGCGCCGAAUCGAUUGAGCUCGCUGUUUGAAGGCUGCAAAGAGGACUCGCUUCGGCUUGAAACCUUUUCGGUCGGAUGGCAGAUGAGCUUGGUUGUAUUAAAGAGGCUGGUGAACUCGUGCUUGCUAGGCUUUGUAGGACUUGUUUAGAGGCGACACAUGUGUUUCUUUUUUACAGGCUUUGUAGAGCUUGGCGAGUGCUCAGCUUCCUAUUCGGUGUCUAGUCGGUCACCCAUUUGACCCGUCUUGAAACACGGACCAAGGAGUUUAAGGUAUGCGCAAGUCAUUGAGCUAAGUUAAACUCAAAGGCGUAAUGAAAGUGGGCCACUCAGUGGCUGUGAUGUGAGUUAGCGGCGAUUCGUCGACGUUAACGCAACAUCGACCCAUGACUAGGGCUUGCUCUGUUGUGGAGUCCGAGCGUAUGCUUUGAGACCCGAAAGAUGGUGAAUUAUGCCUGAACAGGACGAAGUCAGAGGAAACUCUGAUGGAAGUUAC